rnacentral:rRNA from 1 species
GACAGAGGCCUCGAGCGUUAGGCGGAAUCACUGGGCUUAAAGCGUGUGUAGGCGGGCCCGUAAGUGUCUUGUGAAAUCCCACGGCUCAACCGUGGAACUGCUGGGCAUACUGCGGGUCUUGGGCCAACUAGGGGCAGCCGGAACAAGCGGUGGAGCGGUGAAAUGCGUAGAUAUCGCUUGGAACGCCGAAGGUGAAAACAGACAGCUGGGAGUGUGCUGACGCUGAGGACACGAAAGCCAGGGGAGCGAACGGG